rnacentral:lncRNA from 1 species
CCAGCGAUGGACGAGCGACGUGUUUGACAGCUACAAGCGAACACUGAACCCACCACUAGAUGGAGCUACGUGUACACUACUUACCUGGAGAGGAUGACUGGAUAAAAGAACUAAAUAAAGGGAGGCAAGGCAGAAGCGCGUGGUGAGAUAGAGAGUGGAGUUUGGCGACUGGAGCAACUGGAGGUGAAGGCGACGGGUCGGUGGUGGAUCGGCUGCCUGACAUCUGGACACAGAAGACUUUCUCCGGUCUCAGAGUGAUGUUGAGGAUGAGGAGGAGCUGGUCUUUCUCCUCUGAGGAACCUGCAGCCUGUGUCCUUCCUGGUUCGCCCCUAACUCAAAUGACUCGAUGACGAUUUGAUUCCAUUUUAAAUCCAAGCAAACGCUUGGACUUAACACAUAAUGCAGCGCUCAACGCCGCAAUCACAUUUGACCAGAUGGUUAAUUACCCACACAAAAUGCAAUAAAACUCUCAA